rnacentral:rRNA from 1 species
CCUUUGACGUUAGCGGCGACGGGUGAGUAACACGUGGGUAACCUACCUAUAAGACUGGGAUAACUUCGGGAAACCGGAGCUAAUACCGGAUAAUAUUUCGAACCGCAUGGUUCGAUAGUGAAAGGUGGUUUUGCUAUCACUUAUAGAUGGACCCGCGCCGUAUUAGCUAGUUGGUAAGGUAACGGCUUACCAAGGCGACGAUACGUAGCCGACCUGAGAGGGUGAUCGGCCACACUGGAACUGAGACACGGUCCAGACUCCUACGGGAGGCAGCAGAC